CCCUUAGAUGUCCUGGGCCGCACGCGCGUUACACUGAUGCAUUCAACGAGCUUAUAACCUUGGCCGAGAGGCCUGGGCAAUCUUGUUAACGUGCAUCGUGAUAGGGAUAGAUUAUUGAAAUUAUUAAUCUUGAACGAGGAAUUCCUAGUAAACGCAGAUCAUCAAUCUGCAUUGAUUACGUCCCUGCCCUUUGUACACACCGCCCGUCGCUACGACCGACUGUUUCUGUCAAUGAAGCUGUAGGAUUCGGCCCUGGCCGGGGCGCAAGCCCUGGCUACGUGGUUGGAGAUCAUAGUUUAGUUGAUACGAAAUACAGGACGUAAAAGUCGUAACA
rnacentral:rRNA from 1 species